CCUACGGGGGGCAGCAGUGAGGAAUAUUGGUCAAUGGGCGCGAGCCUGAACCAGCCAAGUAGCGUGAAGGAUGACUGCCCUAUGGGUUGUAAACUUCUUUUAUAAAGGAAUAAAACGAGGCACGUGUGCCUUUUUGCAUGUACUUUAUGAAUAAGGAUCGGCUAACUCCGUGCCAGCAGCCGCGGUAAUACGGAGGAUCCGAGCGUUAUCCGGAUUUAUUGGGUUUAAAGGGUGCGUAGGCGGCCUUUUAAGUCAGCGGUGAAAGUCUGUGGCUCAACCGUAGAAUUGCAGUUGAAACUGGGGGGCUUGAGUAUGUUUGAGGCAGGCGGAAUGCGUGGUGUAGCGGUGAAAUGCUUAGAUAUUAGGAGGAACACCAGUGGCGAAGGCGGCCUGCUGGACAGAAACUGACGUUGAGGCUCGAAAGCGUGGGGAGCAAACAGGAUUAGAUACCCUUGUAGUC
rnacentral:rRNA from 1 species